rnacentral:rRNA from 1 species
AUUGAACGCUGGCGGCAUGCUUUACACAUGCAAGUCGAACGGUAACAGGCCGCAAGGUGCUGACGAGUGGCGAACGGGUGAGUAAUGCAUCGGAACGUGCCCAGUCGUGGGGGAUAACGCAGCGAAAGCUGUGCUAAUACCGCAUACGAUCUAUGGAUGAAAGCGGGGGACCGUAAGGCCUCGCGCGAUUGGAGCGGCCGAUGUCAGAUUAGGUAGUUGGUGGGGUAAAGGCUCACCAAGCCAACGAUCUGUAGCUGGGCUGAGAGGACGACCAGCCACACUGGGACUGAGACACGGCCCAGACUCCUACGGGAGGCAGCAGUGGGGAAUUUUUGACAAUGGGCGCAAGCCUGAUCCAGCCAUGCCGCGUGCAGGAAGAAGGCCUUCGGGUUGUAAACUGCUUUUGUACGGAACGAAAAGGUUUGGGUUAAUACCCUGGGCCGAUGACGGUACCGUAAGAAUAAGCACCGGCUAACUACGUGCCAGCCGCCGCAGUAACAC